UAGAAAUCCCGGGAGGGGGGGUGAAAAUUCCCCCAAAAAAAUUCGUGCAAAGGAAAAUGCCUGAAAAAAAAAUUCGUGCAGCCAUUACGUCAGAGAAAAAAAAUUCGUGCAAGCAAACAGCGAAGUAGAAAUAGUCUUGAAAAAAAAUUCGUGCAGAGGUUAAAUGCAUUAAAAAAAAUUCCUGCAGAGACACGAGACUGAAAAAAAAAUUCGUGCCGCAAAAAUUUUAUACCCCCCCUCCCGGGAUUUCUAAUGGUCCGCCCCUAACCUCUCUUCCUUCUGAGAGUUGCGGUAAUGUCAGUGAAUAAUUACUAAGGUCACAUGAACAUGGCUGCCUCAAGUCUCAUCCCUAAAACUCA